rnacentral:rRNA from 1 species
UACGUAGGGGGCAAGCGUUGUCCGGAAUUAUUGGGCGUAAAGAGCGCGUAGGCGGUCCGAUAAGUCCGUUGUGAAAGUCAAAGGCUCAACCUUUGAAUGCCGAUGGAUACUGUCGAGCUAGAGUCCGGAAGAAGCGAGUGGAAUUCCUGGUGUAGCGGUGGAAUGCGCAGAUAUCAGGAGGAACACCAAUAGCGAAGGCAGCUCGCUGGGACGGUACUGACGCUAAGGCGCGAAAGCGUGGGGAGCGAACAGG